UGAGUCACACGUUCGGCCAGAUAGUGCACGGAUAUACUUCUCAUUUACUUCCAUCCGAAGCACGGUGACGGGUCUCUAAGCAGCCUGACACAGGAGAGAGAGAGAGCGGCUGGAGGCAGUUUAAGGGAGGGGGGCAGCAGCAGUCGAUGCUGGUGACGCAGGAAAAACCCAAGAGCAGACAAUAAACCAAUGGUCUGAUCUCAUCCUAGGCCUGUUAUUUUUAAUCGGGACAGCCAAGCACAUGCACGCGACUGCCUAAUUAUUAAACAGCACUUAAAUGAUCCGAUCUGGGGUCGUAUGGAGGAAAGAUCCAGUUUGAUUCUCGGUUAUGCAAUGGUCUCUGCAACAUAUCCAGUCCCCCAGGUGGUGCUUUCACUUUCAGAAGUGUGCCGGUUCUCCGUCGCUCCUGAGGAGAAACUGAUUUCUUCUGGUGUGCCAGCAACAUAAGCAGACAAGAUUGCAAAGAUCUGCCCCGUGUCGAGUAUGACGGCCACGACCCGUGGCUCCCCGGUGGGAGGGAAUGACGGUCAGGGCCAGGCUCCGGAUGGCCAGUCCCAGCCACCCCUGCCCCAGAACCAGACAUCCUCUCCUAACUCAUCCAACGAGAACUCUCCAGUGAGCCCGCCAGAUGACCAGGGUCAAGGGGACUCUCCCACUCCUCUGGAGGAGGAGGAGCCUGCUUUCCCCCACACUGAAUGGCCAAGCUGGAUGACAUGAUCAACAGACCUCGCUGGGUCGUUCCAGUUUUGCCAAAGGGUGAAACUAGAAGUUCUUCUUGAAGCUGCUAUAGAUCUUUGUAAAAAAGGAAUUGAUGUCAAGUGUGAAGCAUGCCAGAGGUUUUUCAGAGAUGGCUUGACAAUAUCCUUUACAAAAAUACUGACAGAUGAGGCUGUUAGUGGAUGGAAAUUUGAAAUCCAUCGGUGCAUCAU